rnacentral:rRNA from 1 species
GCAUGGCAGUCGAACGCACUCUCGUUUAGAUUGAAGGAGCUUGCUCCUGAUUGAUAAACAUUUGAGUGAGUGGCGGACGGGUGAGUAACACGUGGGUAACCUGCCCUAAAGUGGGGGAUAACAUUUGGAAACAGAUGCUAAUACCGCAUAAAACCUAACACCGCAUGGUGUAGGGUUGAAAGAUGGUUUCGGCUAUCACUUUAGGAUGGACCCGCGGUGCAUUAGUUAGUUGGUGAGGUAAAGGCUCACCAAGACCGUGAUGCAUAGCCGACCUGAGAGGGUAAUCGGCCACACUGGGACUGAGACACGGCCCAGACUCCUACGGGAGGCAGCAGUAGGGAAUCUUCCACAAUGGACGAAAGUCUGAUGGAGCAACGCCGCGUGAGUGAAGAAGGUUUUCGGAUCGUAAAACUCUGUUGUUGGAGAAGAAUGUAUCUGAUAGUAACUGAUCAGGUAGUGACGGUAUCCAACCAGAAAGCCACGGCUAACUACGUGCCAGCAGCCGCGGUAAUACGUAGGUGGCAAGCGUUGUCCGGAUUUAUUGGGCGUAAAGCGAGCGCAGGCGGUUUCUUAAGUCUGAUGUGAAAGCCUUCGGCUCAACCGAAGAAGUGCAUCGGAAACUGGGAAACUUGAGUGCAGAAGAGGACAGUGGAACUCCAUGUGUAGCGGUGAAAUGCGUAGAUAUAUGGAAGAACACCAGUGGCGAAGGCGGCUGUCUGGUCUGUAACUGACGCUGAGGCUCGAAAGCAUGGGUAGCAAACAGGAUUAGAUACCCUGGUAGUCCAUGCCGUAAACGAUGAGUGCUAGGUGUUGGAGGGUUUCCGCUCUUCAGUGCCGCAGCUAACGCAUUAAGCACUCCGCCUGGGGAGUACGACCGCAAGGUUGAAACUCAAAGGAAUUGACGGGGGCCCGCACAAGCGGUGGAGCAUGUGGUUUAAUUCUAAGCACCGCGA